CGUCUGGUUCGGGGAGACCCGCAGGAGGUCCAGUCGGACAGGUCUUUGGCCGGGUGAAGGCUGGACGCGGCUAGGAGAAAAACAGCCUAGACUGUUGGGGGGAAAUAUACUCCACGUUACACAGCUCGCACCCGUGCGGUGACCAGGUCCUCUCUCCAGAGGAGCUGCCUGUGUGCCCCUUCAAGCCUCAGUUUCCACAUCUGUGAAGCGGGGCCAGUGGAAGCCAACACAUCGCGCUGCUGUGCGAACCGAAUCAGAACAUCUGUGGGAGGCAUCUGCAUGCCUAGCACUUCAGGGUUGAGUAAACGAGAGCUGUUAAAGUCUGCCAAUAUUAUCGCAAGGGCAGAAUGCUAAAUUGAGCUCUAGUUGGACAGCGGAGGUUGAGUAUGGACUUUCAAAUCCUGAAUCUCUACCUGUUAGGAAGUUUCUAAAAAAAAAAAAAGUGGUUAAUGACCGGUGAGGAGGUAGUGGAAGAUCCUAGAUUAUUCUACAUCCCCUGAAGGCCGUCAUGGACAGUUUCGAGUUGGUACGCCUUCUGCACAGCAUUUACUCCCAGGCACUGAGAGAAGGUGCCAGCGUGUGCCCUGCUUAACACACAGCAUCAGGCCAUUCUGGGGGUUUCACUAUGUGUUUCAGGCUAGCCUUGAACUUUUAUGUAACUUAUGGUGGCCUCUAACUCUUGGCAAUCUUCCUGCUUCGGCCUCCCCAGUGCUGGGAUUACAGGCAUGUGCCACCGAGCCGGGCUUUCCAGGCUCCCACCUCUAGCCCCAGCUGGCAGAACUGUUCUGAAAGAACACCAGAGUGACAUCAUGCCUUUGGAGUGAGUCACAGCCCUUCCAUGCACAUUCAGCUACAGUAGAGGCACUGUGAUGCAUUACGCCAGUUGGUCAGAAUGUGACACCUGAGUCCCUGGUGUGUUUAUGCACACAGAGAUAUCAAAUGUGUGAUUUGAGAUACACUGGAAAAUGUCUGUUCCCAAAAUGUGCUACCUCCUAAACUGCAUGACAAUAAUGGGGUUUUACUGUUUUCUGAGUCAAUAGCUAUUCUAACUAUUAAAGACUCCUACUGCAACAA